rnacentral:piRNA from 1 species
UGCAUAGAAAGUGCUGGGUGAACAUUGA